UACGAAGGGGGCUAGCGUUGCUCGGAAUCACUGGGGCGUAAAGGGUGCGUAGGCGGGUCUUUAAGUCAGGGGUGAAAUCCUGGAGCUCAACUCCAGAACUGCCUUUGAUACUGAGGAUCUUGAGUUCGGGAGAGGUGAGUGGAACUGCGAGUGUAGAGGUGAAAUUCGUAGAUAUUCGCAAGAACACCAGUGGCGAAGGCGGCUCACUGGCCCGAUACUGACGCUGAGGCACGAAAGCGUGGGGGAGCAAACAGGG
rnacentral:rRNA from 1 species